rnacentral:rRNA from 1 species
CAGCAGCCACGGUAAUACAGAGGGUGCGAGCGUUAAUCGGAUUUACUGGGCGUAAAGCGUGCGUAGGCGGCUUCUUAAGUCGGAUGUGAAAUCCCUGAGCUUAACUUAGGAAUUGCAUUCGAUACUGGGAAGCUAGAGUAUGGGAGAGGAUGGUAGAAUUCCAGGUGUAGCGGUGAAAUGCGUAGAGAUCUGGAGGAAUACCGAUGGCGAAGGCAGCCAUCUGGCCUAAUACUGACGCUGAGGUACGAAAGCAUGGGGAGCAAACAGGAUUAGAUACCCGCGUAGUCCCUGUCUCUUAUAA